rnacentral:rRNA from 1 species
AUACGUAGGGUGCAAGCGUUAAUCGGAAUUACUGGGCGUAAAGCGUGCGCAGGCGGUUUUGUAAGACAGAGGGGAAAUCCCCGGGCUCAACCUGGGAACUGCCUUUGUGACUGCAAGGCUAGAGUACGGCAGAGGGGGAUGGAAUUCCGCGUGUAGCAGUGAAAUGCGUAGAUAUGCGGAGGAACACCGAUGGCGAAGGCAAUCCCCUGGGCCUGUACUGACGCUCAUGCACGAAAGCGUGGGGAGCAAACAGGAUUAGAUACCCUGGUAGUCCACGCCCUAAACGAUGUCAACUGGUUGUUGGGUCUUCAUUGACUCAGUAACGAAGCUAACGCGUGAAGUUGACCGCCUGGGGAGUACGGCCGCAAGGCUGAAACUCAAAGGAAUUGACGGGG